CAGCCCUAAACGAUGCGCGUUAGGUGUAUCGGUGACCACGAGUCACCGAGGUGCCGAAGGGAAACCGUGAAACGUGCCGCCUGGGAAGUACGGUCGCAAGGCUGAAACUUAAAGGAAUUGGCGGGGGAGCACCACAAGAGGUGGAGCCUGCGGUUUAAUUGGACUCAACGCCGGGAAGCUCACCGGAUAAGACAGCGGAAUGAUUGCCGGGCUGAAGACCCUGCAUGACCAGCUGAGAGGAGGUGCAUGGCGUAGUCGUGU
rnacentral:rRNA from 1 species